UACGUAGGGUGCAAGCGUUGUCCGGAAUCAUUGGGCGUAAAGCGCGCGUAGGUGGUCAUGUAAGUCCGCUGUGAAAGUCAAAGGCUCAACCUUUGAAAGCCGGUGGAUACUGCAUGACUAGAGUACGGAAGAGGCGAGUGGAAUUCCUGGUGUAGCGGUGGAAUGCGCAGAUAUCAGGAGGAACACCGGUGGCGAAGGCGGGUCUCUGGGCCGUAACUGACGCUGAGGAGCGAAAGCGUGGGGAGCGAACAGG
rnacentral:rRNA from 1 species